GUGAUCCGGAUCGCGGGCCUCGCGGGGUUUUCUGAAAGUGUGCACAGAGAACACACGUGUUUCCGUUUCAACGAAAACAACACAGCUUCACCGUGAUUGUCACAGCGAUCGCUUGUAUUUUACAUCUUUAAAACGACCUGAUGUCAGAAGAAGAAGAUGCCCUGGAUCUCCUGUUGCAGGAUGACCCAAACGAUCAUGCAUUUAGUAUAAAUACGUACAUGGUAUUGACAUCCCAAUAUUUAGUUAGGGAGGGUUGCCAUAUACUUCCCAAGGAAGUUUGCAGCCUCUCACUGAAGAGGAACUGUACAGAGGGCCUUGAUUAUCGGAAACAUUUACAGAGCCAAUUGAGUUACUUUUUUCCCCAGAUUUUUGUGCAUUAUCUUAUAUAUGCCUGCUGUGAAGUUCCAGUCGAUAGACAGAUAUUGGUCAACGCAUGCCCCUGUCGGAACAACUCAUUAUCAAGAAUUAUGUCUAGAAAUAGGUUUCAAGAGGUUGAAUAUAAGAACAUUUUUGUUAAAUAUGAUGCAAGUACAUUUAAAUCUAGUGAUUGAAAGUAAGUACUUGAACAUUUGUAUAUGUUGAACUUGGAGAGGAAAAAUGGUUAGUACUUUUUUAUAACAUUUGAUAAGAUGUUGUUGCUGAGCAACCAAAUAUAAUUGAAUAAAAAAAUUAAUUAUUUUAGAUUAACAGUAAUUGAAAGGUCUUUGUUUUAAUGUUGCAAUACUUAUUCUAUUUAAUGGAACAUAAUGGCAAAACGUCAUAUUAUUAGAAAAUGAUGGACAAGUAUAUAAAGUACGAAGUUUCCAUUUGAUGUCCUUUGACCUUAAUUCUCUGCAUCAUAUUUUUUGUUAAAAACCUUUUAAAAUGAUUAAGAUCUAUUUAAAGAUUAUAUUUUUAAAAUAAUGGGACAUUUACUAAUCAUCAUGGAAUGUAAUUACGUUUAAAUUGUGUCGAAUGGAUGCAGAAAGGCAAAUUAUGGUCAAAAUUGUACUAUGAGUGUUGUUACUUAGCAACCAAAAUUAUUUGUUUGUCAAUAAAAUUGAUUAGUUUGA